rnacentral:rRNA from 1 species
AUAGUAGAGGAUACGCCCGGACGAAAGUCGGAUUUAAUACUCUAUGUUGUACAACGAGGACAUCUGAAUUGUAACCAAAGAUUCAUCGCUAGUGGGAGUGGGAUGCGUCUGAUUAGCUUGUGGCGGGGUAACGGCCCACCAAGGCGACGAUCAGUAGGGGUUCUGAGAGGAAGGUCCCCCACAUUGGUACUGAGACACGGACCAAACUCCUACGGGAGGCAGCAGUGAGGAAUAUUGGUCAAUGGACGAGAGUCUGAACCAGCCAAGUAGCGUGCAAGGAUGACUGCCCUAUGGGUUGUAAACUGCUUUUAUGCGGGAAUAAAGUCAGGUACGUGUACCUGUUUGUAUGUACCGCAUGAAUAAGGACCGGCUAAUUCCGUGCCAGCCGCCGC